rnacentral:misc_RNA from 1 species
AAAAAAAAAAACACAUUUAUUCCUUGUUAUCGAUAGGCAAAUACAUUUCCACAAGAGAUACUGACGCAGAGGAGGAAGAAGCAAGGAGAGUAAACUAUGGCAGCCUCACUACAAGCAGCAGCCACACAUAUGCAACCCACUAAGGUAGGUUGGGCGCCUGCCAGGACCAGCAGCCUUCAGCUCAGAUCUUCUAAGAGUGUGUCUAAGGCUUUUGGGUUGGACCCUACUAAUGCUAGGAUCGCUUGCUCCUUGCAAUCUGACCUUAAGGACUUGGCUCAAAAGUGUGUUGAUGCUACUAAGCUUGCUGGAUUUGCUCUUGCUACUUCUGCUCUUGUCGUUUCGGGAGCAAGUGCUGAGGGAGUCCCAAAGAGGCUAACUUAUGAUGAAAUCCAAAGCAAGACAUAUAUGGAAGUAAAGGGAACUGGUACAGCAAACCAAUGCCCAAGCAUUGAAGGUGGGGUAGACAAAUUUGCCUUCAAACCUGGCAAAUACAAUGCCAAGAAGUUCUGCCUAGAGCCUACUUCGUUCACUGUCAAGGCAGAAAGUGUAGCCAAGAAAUCCCCACCUGAGUUCCAAAACACUAAGCUCAUGACACGCUUGACCUACACUCUCGACGAGAUUGAGGGACCUUUCGAAGUCUCCCCUGAUGGAAGUUUGAAGUUUGAGGAGAAAGAUGGAAUAGAUUAUGCUGCUGUAACGGUGCAGCUUCCUGGUGGUGAACGUGUACCUUUCCUUUUCACCAUUAAACAGCUGGUGGCAACAGGGAAACCAGAGAGCUUUGGCGGAGAGUUUCUUGUACCAUCCUACCGUGGUUCAUCUUUCUUGGACCCAAAGGGAAGAGGUGGCUCUAGCGGUUAUGACAGUGCAGUUGCCUUGCCCGCCGGAGGCAGAGGAGACGAGGAGGAACUAGCUAAGGAGAACAUUAAGAAUACUUCGUCAUCAACAGGGAAAAUUACCCUUAGUGUCACUGGAAGCAAUCCUUCGACUGGAGAGGUUAUUGGAGUGUUUGAGAGCGUUCAGCCAUCUGAUACUGAUCUGGGAGCAAAGACUCCAAAGGAGGUCAAGAUCCAGGGAAUUUGGUAUGCUCAGCUUGAGCAGUAGAGCUCUUUUUCUUGUAUGAAUUUGUGUAUUAAUAGUCUUGGUUCAGAUUUUACUAAAUGUUGAAAGCGUUGCUAAAACUUUUCUGUGACCCAAUUGAGUAUCAUUAUCAUCACCAUCAUCAUAGUCAUCUCCCCUGCUUGUUAUAAUGUUUGGAAACCUAGGGAUUUGGAAGCAAUUAGGACAAGACCCUCUGCUUUUCUGCUACUCUAAUACCUUGAUCAAGUCCUUCGUGGGUUAUUCAAACACUGUAACGCUGAGGCUAUAGGAUUCUGCAGAACCAAAUCAUUGGAAUUUCCACAGCAGGGUUAAUAUGGUUAAGAAGUAGAGUUUUGAUGGUCAAUAUUGGAGGCAUAUAUCAUAGUGUAGACAUCUGAAUAUUUUAGAAGAAUUAUGGAGAAAAGGCAACUAGGGUUCAAAUUAUUUAAUAAGUAUUGUCAGAAUAUAACAUUCCUAGUUUUUGUUUCAAUGAAUAGUCAAAAUAUAAUAUUCCUUAGCUCUAAUUUGUGAAUAUGAAUCAGAUGGAAUUGAUAAGUUCAGGCUAAUUAUAAGGUCUAUUCCUGUUAGGUAAGCCAAAGAAAGUAAUAACUAAUCAAUUUCAUCCAUAAAAAUCUCAUUUGAUUCUAUGAAUACAAAGAAUUUUUCUUAUUUAAAAUUAUCUAUUAUAAACUUAAGAUAUAAGACAUGAGAUUCAUCGUUUUCUUUUGUUUUAAAUCAAUUAGAGUCUAAAUAAGAAUUUCUCAAUC